UGGGGAAUUUUGCACAAUGGGGGAAACCCUGAUGCAGCGACGCCGCGUGAUUUAGAAGGCCUUCGGGUUGUAAAAAUCUUUUCUAUGGGAAGAAAAUGACAGUACCAUAGGAAUAAUGACCGGCUAAUUACGUGCCAGCAGCCGCGGUAAUACGUAAGGUCCGAGCGUUGUCCGGAAUCAUUGGGCGUAAAGGGUACGUAGGCGGGUAAGCAAGUUAGAAGUGAAAUCCUAUAGCUCAACUAUAGUAAGCUUUUAAAACUGCUCAUCUUGAGGUAUGGAAGGGAAAGUGGAAUUCCUAGUGUAGCGGUGAAAUGCGCAGAUAUUAGGAGGAAUACCGGUGGCGAAGGCGACUUUCUGGCCAUAACCUGACGCUGAGGUACGAAAGCGUGGGUAGCAAACAGG
rnacentral:rRNA from 1 species